UUCCAAAAUAACCAGUUAAACAUGUCACAUUUAUCUUUGGUGGUCUAAAAUGUUGAUAAUGGUGUGCAGGAGUUUUAACUAAGAGAUGAAGGACCCUAAUAUGUGUACGUGUUCAACAGAUUAUGUCAAAGCUCCUAAACCACUGAUCAUUUUCUGAUACUUUUUACCUCAAUUUUUUGUAGGAUCAAUUGUGACUUUUCUGGGUAACACAGCAGGCAGUUUUCUGACUAGUCUGGGUGAAAAAGUAGGGAUUAUAAUAAGA